GACAGAGGGUGCAAACGUUGUUCGGAAUUACUGGGCGUAAAGGGCGUGCAGGCGGUCUGUUAAGUGCAGGGUGAAAGCUCCCGGCUCAACUGGGAGAGGUCCUUGCAUACUGGCGGACUUGAGGGGGGUAGAGGAAAGUGGAAUUCCCGGUGUAGUGGUGAUAUGCGUAGAUAUCGGGAGGAACACCGGUGGCGAAGGCGGCUCUCUGGGCCUUACCUGACGCUGAGGAGCGAAAGCGUGGGUAGCGAACAGG
rnacentral:rRNA from 1 species